CGUAGGGUCCGAGCGUUGUCCGGAAUUAUUGGGCGUAAAGGGCUUGUAGGCGGUUUGUCGCGUCGGAAGUGAAAACUCAGGGCUUAACCCUGAGCCUGCUUCCGAUACGGGCAAACUAGAGGGAUGCAGGGGGAGAACGGAAUUCCUGGUGGAGCGGUGGAAUGCGCAGAUAUCAGGAGGAACACCGGUGGCGAAGGCGGUUCUCUGGGCAUUUCCUGACGCUGAGAAGCGAAAGCGUGGGGAGCAAACAGGCUUAGAUACCCUGGUAGUCCACGCCGUAAACGGUGGGCACUAGGUGUGGGGAACAUUCCACGUUCUCCGUGCCGCAGCUAACGCAUUAAGUGCCCCGCCUGGGGAGUACGGCCGCAAGGCUA
rnacentral:rRNA from 1 species